UGUUGUUUGUUGUUCUUGUUGUGUGCUUGGAAGCUGAUGUAAGUCCAUCGAGUGGCAUUCGGGUUCCAGUGUGGGUUUGUUGGGUUCGAGACGGAGAGAGUAAAGGUUGGGGACGAGUGAUUUUGAGUGAGCGGGCGUGAAGGAGAGACGCGAUGAGAGUUUGAGAGAGAAAGAAGUCUGUCUUCUCGAGGAAGACAAACGAAACCUGGAUUUCGUGCCCUCCCCCAAAUCAUUCCCUUUUUUUUAUUUUUUUCAUUUUUUUUAUUUUAUUUUUUAUUUUUAUUUCAUUUUUAAAUAAAAUAGGUUCUCGGAAAUAUUAAAGGUUUUAGAAUUCUUAGGUUUAGUUAAUAAUUAUUUUCAUAUUUUUAACUUAACCCCCAUUAAAAAAGAAACCAACAGACCUUCAUUUUUUGUUGUUUUAUGUUCCUUUUUUUUUUCCAAUCUAGUCUGGUUUAUAUGUUUAAGUUGUUAUCUAGAUGACAACUGAUGAUGAGUGGUCUGGUGGAGAAAGGUAGUAUCUUAUUCUUGAGUGGGGUGGGUUCAAUACUCAUGAGUGGCAUUUUUUUUUUUUUUUGCAUUUUUUAUUCUUUUAGUAUUUUGUUAAUAUCUUUUUUUGUUAUGUUUAUGCUUCAUUAUUUUUCAUAGUUUCAUUAUCAUAGAUUUGUUGUCUAUUAAGUUCAUCAUGCAUGCAAAACCAUUUUUAAACUUAUAAAAAAUCAUACUUUUCUCGAUUUAAUAUCGAGCCCUUUUUUCACACCCUCGUAAGUCGAUUGCUUUUUAAGCAUCGCCAUCAACCUCGCAUAGCUUACUCUUGGGCUUUCUUACAAUGAGCCGGUUCCUUUGCACUUACACUCAUACAUUGUUUAAUGCUUUAUUAUUUCAUUCUUCGAUUAUUUGAUUCGAUUAUAUACUUGUUUAUAUCUUAACUGUUUGAUUAACUGUGGCCUAUUUGUAUGGUGUAUGAGGCAUAUACUUAUAUUGCUUGAUUGCCAUGUCAACCCCCAUUCAUAACAAAUGUAUCCCUCUCCCAUGAAAUGUAUAAUAUUCUUUCAUUCUUUAUUCAUCUGUUAAUACAAGAAUUAAAAUGAACAUUCGAUAACCAUUUCAAAACAAGAUCAAAACCUCGAUCCAACGUCGAGUAAUCAUUUUUCAAAACCUAACAGAACCAGCACGUAUUCNCAAACGAAACCUGGAUUUCGUACCCUCCCCCAAAUCAUUUCCUUUUUUUAUUUUUUUUAUUUAUUUAUUUUUAUUUCAUUUUUAAAUAAAAUAGGUUCUCG
rnacentral:lncRNA from 1 species